UUUAUUUUAUAAAAAUAUAAUAGUAAGCUUUAAACCAGCUAUCUUUAAGAUUACGUUUUAGUUCAUUAUUUUUUAUUUUGAUUUUAUAAAUAUUUUAGGUUUUUUAUUAAGAUUAUUAAUUUAAUUUUAAAAUUUUUGUAAUAAUGAUAGAAUUAGUAUAUUUAUUUGUAUGAAAUUUUUACCUUGUGAACUUAUUAUAAGGAACUAGGCAAAAUUGAUUUCCGCCUGUUUAUCAAAAACAUGUCCUCUUGUUUAUAUUUUGAGGUCUGGCCUGCUCACUGAGCGUAUUUUUAAAGAGCCGCAGUAUUUUGACCGUGCAAAGGUAGCAUAAUCAUUAGUCUCUUAAUUAGUGGCUGGAAUGAAUGGCUUGACGAGAAAUCAACUGUCUCUUAAUAAAUUUUUCUUUAGGACGAGAAGACCCUAUAGAGCUUGACAUUUUACUUUUAUAUAGUUUUUUGUUUGUCUUUCUAUAUUUAAUGAUGAUGUUUUGUUGGGGUGACAUGAAGAAUAGAUAAACUCCUCAUUAUUAUAUCAUUUAUUUAUGUUUGUUAUUUUGAUCCAUAAUUUAUGAUCAUAAGAUUAAGUUACCUUAGGGAUAACAGCGUAAUUGUUUUUGAGAGCUCAUAUCGACAAAGCAGAUUGCGACCUCGAUGUUGGAUUAAGAAAAAUUUUGGGUGCAGGAGCCCAAUGAUUAGGUCUGUUCGACCUUUAAAUUCUUACAUGAUCUGAGUUCAGACCGGCGUGAGCCAGGUCGGUUUCUAUCCUAAGAUUGUUAAUCCAUAUUAGUACGAAAGGACCAUAUGGUUAAAAUAUUUUUUGUUAUAUUGAUUAAUAUUAAUUUAUU